rnacentral:rRNA from 1 species
GGCGAACGCUGGCGGCGUGCCUAAUACAUGCAAGUCGAACGAACGGAUAAAGAGCUUGCUCUUUUGAAGUUAGUGGCGGACGGGUGAGUAACACGUGGGUAACCUGCCUCACAGCUGGGGAUAACAUCGAGAAAUCGAUGCUAAUACCGAAUGUGCUGAACAUCAUAAGAUGUUCAAGUGAAAGACGGUUUCGGCUGUCACUGUGAGAUGGACCCGCGCUGGAUUAGCUAGUUGGUAAGGUAAUGGCUUACCAAGGCGACGAUCCAUAGCCGACCUGAGAGGGUGAUCGGCCACAUUGGGACUGAGACACGGCCCAAACUCCUACGGGAGACAGCAGUAGGGAAUCUUCGGC